rnacentral:lncRNA from 1 species
AUCAGUAGACUCCGACGACUUCGACGCCAUUGCAAGCAAUGUAGAUUUAGAUUGGUCGUGUAUUGGCCGAUGGGAUUCGAAGCGGACGAUGGUGGUUACAAAGAGAAAUACGGUUGAUAGGGUAAAUGGCCGCUGUAAGGCGGUUCAGAGGCUGUAAAGGUUUAUAAUAAGGUAAUAGGGAGCAACAGCAGUUUGAAAGUUAGUGGGAUGCUAGUAUGGG